rnacentral:rRNA from 1 species
UACGAAGGGGGCGAGCGUUGUUCGGAAUUACUGGGCGUAAAGGGCGCGCAGGCGGCUCAGACAGUCAGAUGUGAAAGCCCCGGGCUUAACCUGGGAACUGCAUUUGAUACUACUGAGCUUGAGUACGGGAGGGGAUAGUGGAAUUUCCGGUGUAGCGGUGAAAUGCGUAGAUAUCGGAAGGAACACCUGUGGCGAAAGCGGCUCACUGGACCAUUACUGACGCUGAGGCACGAAAGCUAGGGGAGCAAACAGG